GACUUUCCAGGAAGGCCUGCUGUGCCCAGCACCCACGCCUGCCGCUUGCAGGAUAGCCAGGCCCUAAGACAUUAAGGUUUCCAGAACAGUCGAGCUGACCCUCCCCCUCCAGCCUUCUGAAAUAUUUAUCUCGAUCCAACACAGGAGCCUGGUACAAGGUACAAAUGACCUUCAGGGCAGGGAGAACACAGCCAGAGGGACAGAAGCAGCAGGCAGCCUGUCGGCCAGGCUGCUGCAAUCUUGGAGUUGAGUCACCCUGGCCUGCUUCCCUAGGAAAACAGAAUUCAAGCUGGUCAGAAAUGGUGCUUCUCCUUUCUCCAUGCCUGCUUCAGCCCUCGGCCUUCCAUGCACACAAAGAUGCAAACACACUUAUUCUCUGCUUCGUGGUGCCGAGGUCUCCGUGUUGAUACCCUUCGCCAUAGCUUGGAGAUGCAGAUCAGCUGCCAUGGUGGUCAGAAUGGAUUUUAGAACAGCGACCACUCCACAGCUCCUGCACAGUAAGCACUGGCCGGUUUCAUCUUGUUCUGCAGCUGGUUGUGGGCCGGUUGCUUGGCCCUCAUCAACUCCUCCGCUAUGGAAAACAUCAGGCCAAGUGCGGAGGGAAGACGAAGGCUCCCUGUGGACUAUCCGAUGCUUGCCCAGUUUUGGUUCCAGAAUGAAGAAGGCUUCUGCCAGGAGACACAAGAAACAUUCCACUGCACCGGAAGCUGAGAUUUUCUCCUCCUUAUGUUGGGUUUCCAAUAAACUUAACCUAACAGGCUAAAAUAAAAAUAGCUGUUAGGAGGCGUGACUGACCCAGAGCUGCUAUCCCUUAGGGCUGCUGAGAGGUGCUCCCAUCCCCUGGACCGCUUCUCCACAAAGGAGAUGAGGAAGAUUGUGUCUGGGGUGUAGGAGAUCCUUUAGGGUGUUCGCUUGGUAUUACCAUAUCCUGUGAUUAAGGUCAACGGGAAACUACAAUUCAAUCCAGGCAGAGUGAUAAAUGACCCUGACCCUUCAAGAAUGAAUAUACGGGUCACCCCUCAAAGGCAAAGAAUAAGACUUGCUGAGGUUCUUGCUUAGGGGAGGAAAUACAGAAUGAGGAAGAGGAAGGUAGUAGCUAUGAAUACCAGCCAAGGUCACGUGACUAAUGACAGAAAUGUGGAAAGUCAAGGCAGGAACCUAGAGGCAGAAACUAAAGCAAAAGAAUUUUUUACAUGACCUGGGCUCAUGUUUCUUAUACCUCUUAGGGUUGCCUGCUUAGGGUGGCACUGCCCACAGGGGCUGGGCCUCUCACAUUGAUCAUUAAUCAAGAAAAUGGCCCACAGACUUACCUUCAGGCCAGUCUGAUGGAGGUGUUUCCUCAGCCUGAGGCUCCCUCUCCCAGGUGACACUAGCUUUUCUUAGGUUGACGAAGUACUAUCAGGUGCAAACAUUGUUUAUGCUUAUAUGCACAUAUAGUAAGCCGAUGUUUGUGUUUCCUUGCCUCUGUUGUUUAUCAGGUAAUAUAACAC